UGAUGACGAGACGCUAAGGCGUUGAAGUAGUGUAUGUCAUGCUUCCAAGAAAAGCUCGCAAUGUCAUAAAUAUAAAAUGCCUGUACCAUAACCGACACAGGUGGGUAGGUAGAGUAUACUAAGGGGCGCGAGAUAACUCUCUCUAAGGAACUCGGCAAAAUGACUCCGUAACUUCGGGAGAAGGAGUGCCUUAUUUAUAAGGUUGCAAUAACAAGAUCCAAGCAACUGUUUAUCAAAAACACAGGUCUCCGCUAAGUCGUAAGACGAUGUAUGGGGGCUGACGCCUGCCCAGUGCCAGAAGGUUAAAGAAGUUGGUUAGUGUAUGCGAAGCUGAUGACUGAAGCCCUGGUGAACGGCGGCCGUAACAAUAACGGUCCUAAGGUAGCGAAAUUCCUUGUCGGGUAAGUUCCGACCCGCACGAAAGGCGUAAUGAUUUGGAUACUGUCUCGGAGAGAGGCUCGGUGAAAUAGACUUGUCUGUGAAGAUGCGGACUACCUGCACCAGGACAGAAAGACCCUAUGAAGCUUUACUGUAACUUGAAAUUGGAAUUGGACUUUGCUUGCGCAGUAUAGGUGGGAAGCGUUGAAGAUAUUCUUGCGGGAGUAUUGGAGCUAUCAGUGAGAUACCACUCUUGUAAUGUUAGAUUUCUAACUUUGAACCAUAAUCUGGUCAAAGAACAGUUUCAGGUGGGCAGUUUGACUGGGGCGGUCGCCUCCCAAAUGGUAACGGAGGCGUACAAAGGUUUCCUCUGAACGGAUAGAAAUCGUAUCUAGAGUGUAAAGGCAUAAGGAAGCUUGACUGUGAGGCCUACAAGUCGAGCAGGGACGAAAGUCGGUCUUAGUGAUCUGACGGUACUGAGUGGAAAGGCCGUCACUCAACGGAUAAAAGUUACUCUAAGGAUAACAGGCUGAUCUCCCCCAAGAGUUCACAUCGACGGGGAGGUUUGGCACCUCGAUGUCGGCUCAUCGCAUCCUGGGGCGGUAGUACGUCCCAAGGGUUGGGCUGUUCGCCCAUGAAAGCGGUACGCGAGCUGGGUUCAGAACGUCGUGAGACAGUUCGGUCCAUAUCCGGUGUAGGCGCUAGAAUAUUGAGAGGAGCCUUCUUUAGUACGAGAGGACCGAGAAGGACACACCGCUGGUGUACCAGUUAUCGUGCCAACGGUAAACGCUGGGUAGCUAUGUGUGGAGUGGAUAACCGCUGAAAGCAUCUAAGUGGGAAGCCCACCUCAAGAUGAGUAUUCUCAC
rnacentral:rRNA from 1 species